UUUUCUCAGUUAAACUUGCACUGAAACACUCUCAUAGAUUACUCCCAGAGGUCUGUUGCCAUGGAGAUUCUAAAUCCCAUCAAGUUGACAAUGGAGUCUAACCAUUUUAAUACUGUUAGGCGAUAAGCUUCAAGAGGCAGAGGUGUUAUCUUGAGUACCACCAAUCCCCAAUUUUUAGAACUGUACCUAGAUGGAGUAAGUGCUCAUGAGUAUGGGUGUGGUUGACAUCAGUUUAAAUCUUCAAGGAAGCAGAUGGAUGCUCAGCAAAUAAGCCAAGUGAUGAAUCUGACAAAGAUGAUGGACAGUCUAAAAAGAUUUCACGUAACUUGGAGCCUUUCCCUCUAGGCUGUGUUGUGACGGGAAGACAGCUGGCCCCGAGGAGGCACCACACUCAAAGAAGCAUGUGAGAUUGUGUUCCAUCCCUGUGGGGACCCCAAGCUUUAGAGCAUCUACCACAUUAGAUAAUUAUGUGCAAGAUAUCAUUUACACAGGCAGUGCUCCCUGGCAUCAUCUAGGAACUUGAAUGUACAACAUGAGGCCCUGCCUAAGACUUUUUGAAAAUAAUCUACAUUUUACAACUGGGGAUUUUGCACAUUGUUAGGAUAAUAAAUGUUUGCUAUUUUUAUGCGUACUGAA